rnacentral:rRNA from 1 species
GACGAACGCUGGCGGCGUGCUUAACACAUGCAAGUCGAACGGAAAGGCCCUGCUUUUUUGGGGUGCUCGAGUGGCGAACGGGUGAGUAACACGUGAGUAACCUUCCCUUUACUUUGUGAUAACUUCAGGAAACUGGUGCUACUACCUGAUAGGAGCUCCUGCUGCAUGGUGGGGGUUGGACAGUUUCGGCUGUAGGGGAUGUACUGGCGGGUUAUCAGCUUGUUGGUGGGGGAGUUGCAUACCAAGGCUUCGACGGGUAGGCGGCCUGAGAGGGGGGACGGGGACAAUGGGACUGAGAGACGGAGCAGAGGGGUACGGGAGACAGCAGGGGGGAGUAUGGCACAGUGAGCGGGAGCGUGAUGCAGAAACCCUGCGUGCGGGAAGAAGGCCUUGGGGGGGUGAACCGCUGUAGCCUGUGACGAAGCGGGAGUGACGGUAAUAGGUAAAGAAGCACCGGCUAACUACGUG